GACAUAAAGGAGCAGUCUGGGUUUCUGGAGUCAGAAACUGUGGGCAAGUUACUUACCUCUCAAGCUUCAGUUUUCUCUCACAUAAAAGCAAUGUGUCCUAGCCCUUGGGCUCAUUGUGGAGUGUAAAAUGAAAAACAGGGUACAUAAGGCUUCUGGAACACAGUAGCUGAUCUCUAAAUGUGAGGUGAAUCCCUACCCACCUUCCCAGCCUUCCCCCUUAGAACACACUUUGGGACUUCUUGCAAACUUUAUUGUGUAGGAUGGUGGUUCUCUAUGUGUGCUUCUGGGCACAAGGGGCCUGAGAGAAUUCAUCAAAAAUCAAGUCAUGGAAAGUCAAUUCAUCACUUUUAUUUUGCCAACUGGCGAUUUGGCUUCCCAUCCAUUGAGCGUUGGGAAAAUUAGUUUUGGCAAGUGAGCCUGCCUCCUAGAGGAAUUCUCUGGGUGGACUGGGCUGAUCCAAAUGCAAGUUUAGUAAAUGCUCUGCUCAGGAGUAGGAAGCAGUGUGCGAUAUGUUGAAAGCUGAGCCCUGCAGUUUGUGGCCGAUGUCAGAGCUGCCUCUCCCGAUUUCUGCUUCUGCGUCAGCCACCACUGUGGUCAUCACCAUGAAGAAGUUCUUGUUGGAGAGGAGGGAGGCUGCUGAAGGGGAAGCCGAGCCUCCAGGAAGGGAAGACUGAUGUUAUUGGUGUUUCUCCCCAGGCCCCUGGAGACUCUCUCAUCUCCUCCUCUAACUGUUCUUUUCGCUGCCAAACAAAAGAGAAGGGGCCAGGUGGCACAUGGAGUCAGAAGGCAAAGUGGGAGUUGUUAAAGACAGAUUACUGCACCAAGGGUAGAGUUUGAUUGAGAGGUCAGGAGAGGACUCAGCCAUCAAAGGCAUCCAACUUGAAGACUAGAGAUACCCCCAGGGGCAAGGAAGUAUAUGCUUUGAUGGUGGUAAACCCUGAGUGGCUCCUACAACAGGAUUGAGAAGGGUAAUUUUGCAGGAGCUGUCCUCAGGGCUGGAUGAACUCCCUGGCCCUGCAGAAGAAACCACUGUCUGAUGCCUGUCUGCCUGCUUCCCAGUGGUCGCAGCUACUUGAAGAGGUGCCAUGUGGACUAGUCUUUCACCAGCCACCGUGGACUCUGGCAGAAGGUGCCAUCAUUACUGUUAAGAACUGCAUUUAGAAAUAAGCAGGAAGACUGGAGGGGUUAUUUCGAGCCUCAAAUAGUAUUAAGUUGGAACCUGAAGCUUCUGAAAUGACAGCCUGACUUCUGAGCGGCCGUGCUGAGGAUCUUGCUGCUCUCCGUUGGCGGGGAGCCUCUGUUUCCUGGUCACCGGAACAAGAUUUACUGAGCACAUGCUAUGUGUCUGUCAGGAGUGUGAAGCACUGGGGAGUCAAACAAGAAAGGCUGCUUGUUCAGCCCUUGAGCAACUCACACACCUGUUCCGGAAGCGCACACGGUGCCAUGCGAUCUUACAAGAGAGGGCUCAAGGGACCACGACAGGCUCAGGCCAUUACCCAUGGAACUGGCCAGGGAGAGCCUACCUGUCAAAUUGGCUGGAACGUGGCAAGGUAAACUCCUGAGAGAGACAGCACGAGAAAGGGAGGAGGCCGAGAGAGAGGGAGACACAGAAUCCCAAGC